AGGCCCCGUGGUCUCGUCCCGCCUCGACGGGCUAUGGGCCGGCCCUGUCCAAACAGAGGCGUGCAAAGGUUUCCUCGGGCCAGAUGGAGAUUGGCCCUCGAGUGCAAAGGCAGAAGGGAGUUUGACUGCAAGACCCACCCGUCGAGCAGGGACGAAAGUCGGCCUUAAUGAUCCGACGGUGCCGAGUGGAAGGGUCGUCACUCAACGGAUAAAAGUUACCCUAGGGAUAACAGGCUGAUCUUCCCCAAGAGCUCACAUCGACGGGAAGGUUUGGCACCUCCAUGCUCUUCGCCACCUAGAGCUGUAGUAUGUUCCAAGGGUUGGGCUGUUCGCCCAUUAAAGCGGUGCGUGAGCUCGGUUCAGAACGUCGUGAGACAGUUCGGUC
rnacentral:ncRNA from 1 species